rnacentral:rRNA from 1 species
UACGGAGAGUGCUAGCGUUGUUCGGAAUUACUGGGCGUAAAGGGCGUCUAGGCGGCCUGACAAGUCAGAUGUGAAAUGCCUGGGCUCAACCGAGGACGUGCAUCUGAAACUAAUAGGCUUGAGUAUCGGAGGGGGCAGCGGAAUUCCCGGUGUAGAGGUGAAAUUCGUAGAUAUCGGGAGGAACACCAGUGGCGAAGGCGGCUGCCUGGCCGGAUACUGACGCUGAAGCGCGAAAGCGUGGGGAGCAAACAGG